UAAACUUGAAUGGAAACUGCGAAACUGCA
rnacentral:piRNA from 1 species